CGCGAACCAUUACUGCCUGGACUACUCCGUCUCUUUGUUUGUGUUUGCUCAUUAACAGUAAGAGGUCAUGUACACUGUGGUCAACUUUGUGGACGAUGAAGAGGUUUCUGGGUAAAGAUGAUGUGUUUGCCAGAGAAAUAUAAUGAAGUAACAGUGAAAGCUAAAACAUCAGAUUGAUCCAGACAUUGAAGAAAUUGAUGUCACUGCAAUCUGGCCAAAAUGAUACAACUAUAUUGAAGUAGCCUACUGUAAUGAAGCUGCAGAACAACACAGAGACUCUGAGGACAUCAACACAGAAAAUGAAGGCUCCAAAGAGAUGUCUGUCCAGAUGAGGGUGCAUCAACGUUACCUUUGCUGACAAGUAUAUGCUUUACAAUGUAAAACCUAACAGUUAACUUAACUCAAACCAUUUAAGGAAAUCGGUUGCCUUAACCCAUUAAGUUUCAAAAAAACAUACAUUUGAGUACUGUGAACUUAAGUCUUGUGCAAUUAUGCACUUAUAUUUAGUUAGUGUGAACUUAAAUAUAAGUGCAUAACUGCAUGUGACUCAAUUUGUUUGAAAACUUAAAUGGUUUAAUGCAACCGGUUUUCUUAAAUGGUUUGAGUUUAGUUAACUUUUAGGUUUUACAGUGAGAAAUUCUUGAAUAAUUCCAAGACAGACCUCUGCAAUUGUAUCUACACUGCAAAAAAUCAGUUUCUAACUUAGGAUUUUUAUCUUGUUUUUAGUAGAAAAACUAAAAAUUCUUAAAUCAUUCAAUUACCUAAGAAAAUGUCUAGUUUUUAGACAAAAAUAUACAAUUUAAGUAAA